rnacentral:rRNA from 1 species
UACGAAGGGGGCUAGCGUUGCUCGGAAUCACUGGGCGUAAAGCGCACGCAGGUGGCUGAGUCAGUCGAUUGUGAAAGCCCUGGGCUUAACCUAGGAAUUGCAGUCGAUACUACUCAGCUAGAGUAUGGGAGAGGGCAGUGGAAUUCCCGGUGUAGCGGUGAAAUGCGUAGAUAUCGGGAGGAACAUCAGUGGCGAAGGCGGCUACCUGGCCCAAUACUGACACUCAGGUGCGACAGCGUGGGGAGCAAACAGG